rnacentral:lncRNA from 1 species
ACAACUCCAGCAGCGUCGUAUUCGCGCUGGGUGCUGAUACCCUGCAUCUCCGUUACCAGCGUCGCUCUCAGCGCUUUCCUCCGCCGUCGCACUGCUGAUGCAGCACGCGGCUCUGUGCGUGUCCUCCAGGCUCCGUCAGCCUCUUUCAUCCCCCGGUCCCUCCUCGGCAGCUCUUGUCUAUUCAAAUCAAGGCCUGGCGGAACAGCGCCGGAAGGCAUUUCGCUCCGGAAUGUGAAACCGGCGCUCCUCCGGGUGUACACGGGGGCCCCGCGUCCCCGCUCCGAUUCCUCCGCCGCCGAACAACAACGGCGUCGAGUGCGUCGCCGCGGCAGCGCGGGCCCACGGGAGCCGAGUGUCAGCAGCUGCGGCGAGAAAGGGGGCGAGAGGGACCCGACGGAGGCCUGUCAGUCUCCCUGCUGCGCUCUUCACGGCGGCCGGGAUCAGCCAGGGCCGCUCAGGGCCUCUUCCUCCUCACUUCUUCAUCCCCCAACUCUUUUUUUUUUUGUUUCGUCGCAGCAUUUCGCGCGGGGGGGGGGGUCACAGUUUGACUCGUUUUUCAAUGUCACACCUCAUAACUGUCUGGAUUUCAUUGUUUCAGGCCCAGAGUGGAUGGAGUUAUUUUUAGCACGUUCAUUUACGUUACACAUAUUAAGCACGCUUCACAAGGCAGCCGGGCACCUUCCUAUUGCUAAUUUAUUUCAAAGCAGCCACUGUGUGCUGCUCAAUUUGCAGGCGCGUGCAGAUGUGAAGAUAAAGGCUGUUCAAAGGGACAACACAGGCUUCAGACGCAGACGCGAUAGGAUCAGCUCAGUCCCCCUGAAGUCCACGGGACCGCCAGCAACUUGUCCGCUGGCCGGGCUGCUAAUCCACCGGCCUCAAGGCCGAUCAAACAGAGCAGCAUCGUCCUCCCGUCGUCGGCUGAUGCUGGAAGCGUCCGCGUCCGCCGGACGUCGCAGGAAAGUGAGGGAAGAAUCCGGCUGGACUCACCAGAGCCGGAUGGAGCCUUGGCUUUUCAGUCCCUGUGGUGACAUGUGGUGUCAGAGCAGCUGCCUUGUGCCGUGUGACAUUUGCUGA